CGUGGGUCGAUUUAAUGUGCAUAAGUCAACAGUUUAGAGACUCACAAACAGAUAUCGACAAAUUGCAACUGCACAGGAUAGGUCAAUAUGUUGUAAACCAAAAAAAACUAUCGUGAAGGGAGAAGCGCUACUUUCGCUUUACAUCAACACGUGACAAGUUUUUUCCGGCCAUAAGAGUAGUGCAUUGAUUAAGGGCAGCUGCUGGUGUGCCUGCCAAUCCUUCAAUGAUGCACUCAGGGCAUGGCCGAGAAAUUGAUUUUGAAUAACACUAUACUCAUUUUCGCAUUUUGUCCCUCCCGAGUUCCAUACCAAGAAAAUCCUAACGAAUGUGAGUGAUAAACAUUCAUGCUGCUUCUGACAUGUCAUAAUUUUAUUUUUU
rnacentral:lncRNA from 1 species